rnacentral:rRNA from 1 species
GUAGGUGGCGAGCGUUAUCCGGAAUUAUUGGGCGUAAAGAGGGAGCAGGCGGCAGCUAAGGUCUGCGGUGAAAGCCCGAAGCUAAACUUCGGUAAGCCGUGGAAACCGAGCAGCUAGAGUGCAGUAGAGGAUCGUGGAAUUCCAUGUGUAGCGGUGAAAUGCGUAGAUAUAUGGAGGAACACCAGUGGCGAAGGCGACGAUCUGGGCUGCAACUGACGCUCAGUCCCGAAAGCGUGGGGAGCAAA